rnacentral:rRNA from 1 species
UACGGAGGGUGCAAGCGUUGUUCGGAAUUAUUGGGCGUAAAGGGCGUGUAGGUGGCACUCCAAGUCUGUUGUGAAAGCCCACGGCUCAACCGUGGAACUGCAAUGGAAACUGGGGCGCUCGAGUAUUGGAGGGGGUCGCGGAAUUCCCGGUGUAGAGGUGAAAUUCGUAGAUAUCGGGAGGAACACCAGUGGCGAAGGCGGCCACCUGGACUGAUACUGACACUGAGGUGCGAAAGCGUGGGGAGCAAACAGGAUUAGAAACCCGUGUAGU